CUUUCCUAGGCAACUUUGUUAAAAAGUCACCAAAAGUCUACGUAGAGACCACUUAUUGGUAAGUACUAUGUAAAGCAUCUCCCAAUGCUCUACGAGAAGAAAAAAGUGACCAAGAGCAUACAGCUUCCGGUCAGUCCAAAAGUGGGGCUCCUGCCUCUUCUGCCCUUAAAGCUUCUGAUGCUCCUGUUCCGCUGGCAUCCACGAAGGCGCCUGUCUAGUCAUCUGUUGGUCUAUUGACAUCUUCCGAAAUAACUUUGAUGAUGAAUUUCUCACCAGUUGCUUCGGGAGGCUCUGCCAUUUUGUAAAUUUCCCCCUCCGCAUCUUCUAGUGGAGCGGUGAAGAGAAGUUAUGCUUCUUUGAAUAAUAGUCAUUUUCUUGAUAGUGUUUUUGAAAGCACGACCUCCGAAGCAACCAGACUAGAAGUUGGCAAGUCUCCUCCAAUAGAAACAGUACCUCCUUUAGUGGAGGCUCGUCACGGAGGGGAAACAGUCCCAGAUGCUCAAGUUGCCGAAAAUGUUCUAUCUUAACUGCCAUUACCCUUUGGUUUUGAUUCUCCCAACUCUUUCCUAAACCAACUUAGCUCAAAGUGAUUUAGGUUGUGAUGAUGAUGGCAAUGCUAAGUUGUUGAGGGAGCAUCCCGUGGUACCUAUAUUUACUCGAUUAGAGGCGAGGCCCCAAGCCAUCAACAAAUCGAGGAUGAAGGUUGACGAGGUUGCCGAAGCUUUUAGGUCAGAAGUCUUUGAGGCUGGGAUUUCAGAGUCUGCAAAGGCUACAAUAGCUUCAAGAGUUUCUGAAACUGCGACUUCGGAGGAAAUUUUACCCCUGUUAGCUAUGUUUGGGGCAUGCAUCGAAACCCCGAGUGUGUCAAAUAUGGCAUUGGUAGUGCCAUUUUCCCCCUUGAAAAUGCUUCUUUAGAAAGGGCAUAUGCAUUGGGUGUUCAAGAAGAUUCCAAUGUUGGGGGUUCUGCUUUCAGUGAAGAUGGUGUGUUAAAAGCAAUACUACCUCAAUUCUCAGAUAAGGUGAGGUGAGCGGCCUGGCACAUGUCGAGCAGUCGAUGCGCGAUCAUUUGUUGUUGAGAAGUACAGUGCAUCAUUAGAAGAGCAGAAGAAAUCACCAGCGGAGGAAAUUGAUGUUGAAAAGAGGGUAGCAAAACUAGAAGCAAAGUUGUGUGAGGCUUCUAGGGAGUUAAAAUGCGUGGAAGAAGAAGAAAGAAAGACAAGAAGAUACAAGAGCUAGAGACAGGUCGACGAGCAGACACAAGAUGGUGUGUUCGCGGAGGUUGAAAUGAACAAGGCCAAGGAGGAGGACACAUUUAAGAAAAAGGCGGAGUCCCUUGAAACUAUCUUUGCUGAGGUGCAAAAUAAAUCAUUGAUAGCUGACAAGCUCCGGGUUGUUGUUGUCACUGAGAGGGAUGUCAUGAAACAAGUGUUGGGGGAAUUCUACAAAUAGCUGAAGUCAACAGAGGACCAAGUUAAUGACCUGUUGUAGGUAGUUUUUAAAUCUCUUAUGCUCAUGCUAUCUGUUUGUAGCUGUUGUGAAACGUUGUGGAAAAAUGUAAAAAAUAAAAAAGAACAUCAAUGUUUUGGGUGCAGGAUAUUAAGCGUAUACAUGUUGAAAAGACACGGGAACGCAUUCGAGAUUGGAAAAUAGCAUAAAA